UUUUCCAUGUAACCAAAAACCACCUGUUUCCCAAAAACUAUUGCAAUAAAGUAAUAUAUAUGAAAACAAUCAACAUGAUAGUCUUGAAGUGCAACAUUCACUGGGUUUCAUAUGGGAGAAAAACAGCUAAAAUCAAACACAUGGACAGGCAGUCAGAACAAUGUCCAUCAUAUACAUAGUAAAAUUAAUACAAGGACAAACAUUCAUGAGUGGAGUCCAUUUGAAUUAGCCUGUAGUGAAGACAUGUGCCUUAGGGCACACAUAACUCAUGUUAGGGAGAAAAUGUAUAAUUUUACUCAAUGUGAAAACAUCUUCAGAAAUAACUCAGUCCAUGCUGUCCAGAUGCAGUUCUGUUCUGUAGAGAUGAAGAAUAAGAAUCAUCAAAGUGGAAAAACCUCUGUCCUGCUCCAAAUUCUGGUCCACACAGGAGUAGUACUACUGGAGAGAAAAGCCAUACAUGUCCCAAAUGAAGGAAAGCCUUUACGUUAUCAGUCAUUUCUUAUGAGACAUUAUGAAACUUCACACUGGAGAGAAACCUUAUGAAUGUAACAAAAGUGAGAAAGGCUUUAGAUAUUCCCUACACCUUAAUAAACAUUUAAGAAAGAACAUUCUGGAGAAGCCCUAUGGAUGUAAGGAAUGUGGGAAAGCCUUCAGCAAGGCUCAAAACAUGCACAUAUAAGGAGUCACACUGGAAGAAACCCUAUAAAUGUGAUAAAUGUGAAAAAGACUUUGCAAAGUCACCAGAAUUAAAAGCCAUCUUAAGAUUCACAAUAGUGAGAAGCCCUGU
rnacentral:lncRNA from 1 species